rnacentral:rRNA from 1 species
AUGAACGCUGGCGGCGUGCCUAAUACAUGCAAGUCGAGCGAACAGACGAGGAGCUUGCUCCUCUGACGUUAGCGGCGGACGGGUGAGUAACACGUGGAUAACCUACCUAUAAGACUGGGAUAACUUCGGGAAACCGGAGCUAAUACCGGAUAAUAUAUUGAACCGCAUGGUUCAAUAGUGAAAGACGGUUUUGCUGUCACUUAUAGAUGGAUCCGCGCCGCAUUAGCUAGUUGGUAAGGUAACGGCUUACCAAGGCAACGAUGCGUAGCCGACCUGAGAGGGUGAUCGGCCACACUGGAACUGAGACACGGUCCAGACUCCUACGGGAGGCAGCAGUAGGGAAUCUUCCGCAAUGGGCGAAAGCUUGACGGAGCAACGCAGCGUGAGUGAUGAAGGUCUUCGGAUCGUAAAACUCUGUUAUUAGGGAAGAACAAAUGUGUAAGUAACUAUGCACGUCUUGACGGUACCUAAUCAGAAAGCCACGGCUAACUACGUG